GCCCACUAAGUGUUAUAGACCCUCAUAUGAAGAAUUUCCACCAGACCUGGAUAUCAGGCAUUAAGGCUUGCAUACUUCAGUAUUUACCCUGUUGACAUCACCACCCCACUACAAACUCCCUCACCCAUAUUGCAAAGUGAUUUAAAACAGAAUCACAGCUAUGUAAAUAGGUUAUAACAAACUAUCCCGCAGGGCUAAGCAGAUUCUCUGGCAAACAGAGUAGUUUGAC